rnacentral:rRNA from 1 species
UACGUAGGGGGCUAGCGUUGUCCGGAAUCAUUGGGCGUAAAGCGCGCGUAGGCGGCCCGGUAAGUCCGCUGUGAAAGUCAAAGGCUCAACCUUUGAAUGUCAGCGGAUACUGCCGGGCUAGAGUCCGGAAGAGGCGAGUGGAAUUCCUGGUGUAGCGGUGGAAUGCGCAGAUAUCAGGAGGAACACCAACGGCGAAGGCAGCUCGCUGGGACGGUACUGACGCUGAGGCGCGAAGGCUGGGGUAGCGAACAGG